GAGUCAUGCUUAAAGAUGUCCCAAAUGAAUGGUGAAGGUUACAUCCUCCACAAACAUGAACUGCGAGGAAAUAAAUGCAAAGUGCCCUGUGAGACCCUCCAGAGACAGCCAGGAAGAAGUCUCUCCCUGGUAGACCCCACAGUCCAAGUGUGGGUUGGGGCCACAGGCCCCUGGGGCAGGAAGUGGAUGGGAGGGUAGCCUGGACAGGGCUCUGUGAAUAGCAGAACAUCCCUCUCCAUCUUGGGGCUCUGGCAUCCUGCAGAUCACAUCCCGUGUCCUCCAUCUGCGGCAUCCUGUGGCCAACCUAACCUCUCUGAACCCCAGCUUCCUGGCCUUGGAAAUGGAGCAACACUGGUUAAAGCACUCCCCGGAGGGACGCUCUGAGGACAGGAAGCACCUGGACAGGGUCUGCCCAGAGCUUCCAGCACACAUCGCUGCUGCCCAGCACUCAUGGAACCUUCUACUUCAAGAUGGAAUAUAGGAGCCCCCAUCAUCUGGCUCCAUGUGGAUGAAGACCUGCAUUUAUUGCCUUUACAGUCAUGUGCUCCCUGGACAGUGAGAUGAGUGCUCCACCAAGAGACAGAGUCAGCGCAGGCAGGUGCAACUUGGCCCUUGAACGGUGGAUUCCCGAUGGCAGGAUCUUGGACUUUUCUACUUUCUCUGGAGAGCAAGACAGGGAGAGCCAGCUUAACCAUGGCCUGGAGAGGUGAUCUGCCAGGAAGAAAGGGGGAGAGGCUGCCUAAGGAUGAAGAGGGGCACACGCAUAUUCCCAAGAACAAACGUGAGAACUGUACAGCACCUGAACCGAGCACUCAGUGUCUGAAGCCAGAGGGGAAGAGUUUUGUACCUCCGAAGUGGGUGUCCCUGGUUCGCCCUGAGGCUCCUGAGUGAGUGAUGGGCAUCUUAAGAUGCAAAACCUCAUGAAGAAGAGUUCACAACCAGGUACGCCGCGAGAGGACCAGCUCUUUGGAGAUGAAAUGCAGCACAUGUUAAGUCAUGGGUUCAAGUCAAACAUGCUCUAACGGACACAUAGUGGAACCAAAGGCAUAGUUUAGCAGCAGGUCUUCCGGAAAACAAGCAACCAACACAAGCAAAACCCUGACUUGCUAAGACAGAAGGUGGGAGUGGGAGCAGCUUUGACAAGGUCAGGUUAUUCUACAUAUUGCGUUUGUGUAAAUUAGAGCAAGAGCCCCCUGCUGGGUGGAUGUGGCACUGCUAGACCAUGGCUUGGCAGGUCCAAGGCAACUUUCUU
rnacentral:lncRNA from 1 species